rnacentral:piRNA from 1 species
AGCAGACUUAACCUGAUGAACAAUCC